GGCUCACUAGCCCAAUUUGGCAGAGGCACGUGUCUUAGGAACACGUCAGUGAGGGUUCGAGUCCUUCGUGAGCUAC
rnacentral:tRNA from 1 species